rnacentral:rRNA from 1 species
AGUGAACGCUGGCGGCAGGCCUAACACAUGCAAGUCGAGCGGCAGCGCGGGGGCAACCCUGGCGGCGAGCGGCGGACGGGUGAGGAAUUCGUCGGAAUCUGCCUUUUUGUGGGGGAUAACGUAGGGAAACUUACGCUAAUACCGCAUACGUCCUACGGGAGAAAGUGGGGGACCGCAAGGCCUCACGCAGAAAGAUGAGCCGACGACCGAUUAGCUAGUUGGUGGGGUAAAGGCCCACCAAGGCGACGAUCGGUAGCUGGUCUGAGAGGAUGAUCAGCCACCCUGGCACUGAGACACGGCCCAGACUCCUACGGGGGGCAGCAGUGGGGAAUAUUGGACAAUGGGCGCAAGCCUGAUCCAGCCAUGCCGCGUGUGUGAAGAAGGCCUUCGGGUUGUAAAGCACUUUUGUCCGGAAAGAAAUCCCUGGAGCUAAUACCUUCGGGGGAUGACGGUACCGGAAGAAUAAGCACCGGCUAACUUCGUG